UAGCUGUAGGUGAACCUGCAGCUGGAUCAUUUUUCCGAUGUAAUCCAAAAAUACCUUAAAUAAAAUCUGAGGGCACAAACACACCUUUGUGCUUCUCACACACAAAAACUUUUAUUUUGCCGCUUGACACACACAAACAUGUGUUGAGCACGGCUCCCACAACGUGUCGCGAUGGAUGACUUGGCUUUCUAUUUCGAUGAAGAACGCAGC
rnacentral:misc_RNA from 1 species